rnacentral:misc_RNA from 1 species
CUUGUGAGGCGCUUCGCAUCCAUUCAACGCGUACCGGCACAGCCGCCCAGUCAACUGCGCCCAACAGUAGCCUCCGCACAUAAUUCGUCAGCGUGAAGCCGCUCUUUUUUUUUCCCGGGCUUUCCUCCGGCAUUUCCUGCUUGACAUGCUCCGCCGAACGCUGUUUCGUUUUAAGCCGGCCAUCUUGACGGCAGCCGAGGCCCUUCAGGAUGUGAGGGAUGGCGCGACCAUCGCCCUCGGCGGCUUCGGCUUUUGCGGCUUCCCGUUCGAGCUACUCGAAGCGCUUAACCAGAGGGGCACAAAACAGCUUACCCUCAUCGCUGGCACGACAUCGGGGCCUGAGAACGGGACCGGGCCCCUCGCGCGCGAUAGGCAGCUAAAGAAGAUCAUCACCAGCUACGUUGGCGAGAACAGCGUUCUCUCGGAUCGACUCUUUCACGGCGAGUUUGAAAUCGAGUUUUGCCCCAUGGGCACGCUGGUGGACCGUCUGCGCGCUGCGGGUGCGGGGCUGCCCGCCUUCUACACCCCCACCGGCUACGGCACCGCAGUAGCCGAGGGCCGCCUCCCCGUGCGCUUUGCGCCGGGCAAGGCGGUGAGGGUGGCCGAGUACAGCCAGCCACGCGAGACGCGGCAGUUCAACGGGCGGUGGUGCACGCUGGAGAUGGCGCUGCCGGCGGACUUUGCGUUUGUGCGCGCGUGGAAGGCGGACAAGCGCGGCAACCUCGUGUUCCGCGGGACGACGCAGAACUUCAACCUUGCGUCCGCGAAGGCUGCGAAGGUGUGCAUCGCGGAGGUGGAGGAGAUUGUGGAGUGCGGGGAGCUGGACCCGAAGACGGUGCACCUGCCCGGCGUGUAUGUGCACCGCCUGGUGUGCCCACCGAACAUCAGGAGAGCCGCCGAGUUCGUGGUGGAGCGCAAGCCUGGGUUCUCGACGGGGACCGGGAAGAACGCACAUGCAGGCCGCAAUCUCAUAGCUCGCCGCGCAGCCCUUGAGAUCAAGGAUGGCAUGACACUGAACCUUGGCAUCGGCAUCCCCAACAUGGUGGCGAGCUACAUUCCGCCUGAAAUGGACGUGGUGCUGCAGGGAGAAAACGGCUUACUCGGCAUUGGCCCCUACCCGCUGCCGGAGGAGGUGGACCCCGACAUCACUAACGCCGGCAAGCAGACCGUCACCAUGAGCAAGUCAGGUGCUUCGCUGUUCGACAGCGCCGAGUCCUUCAGCAUGAUUCGCGGUGGUCAUUUGGACUUGACGAUGCUUGGCGCGCUGGAGGUCUCUGGCACCGGCGACAUUGCCAGCUGGUGGGUGCCUGGCAAGGUGCUGAAGGGCAUGGGUGGGGCCAUGGACCUCGUCAUGUCGGGCUGCCGUAUUGUCGUGCUGAUGGAGCACACGGACAAGGAGGGUAAGCCCCGCGUUGUGGAAUCGUGCCGAGUGCCGCUCACCGGCACUGGCGUGGUUGACUUGCUCAUCACAGAGCUCUGCACGUUCCGCUUUGUGAAGGAGAAGGGCGGCAUCAACGAGAUGUGGCUGUCGGAGCUCUCUGAGGGCGUAACGCUGGAGGAGGUGCGCGCAAAGACAAGUGCUGCGUUCAAGGUCGACCCAAAUCUCAAAACGAUGCCGCGAGUGGAUCCUCUACCGACUUGAGUGGGGUCCGGCGGCUGGCCGAUCAUUUCACGCAGUGCUUUUUUUGUUCUUUUCUUUUGUUUGCUUUCACGGGUAGCACGGGUGCGAAGUUUUGUGGCAGCUGCGCUCCACCCGCACGUAUGCGCCGCAUACGGAAAUCACUCGCCCUUUUCCCCUCCCUCUUACGUCGCUUCAUCCUUUAUGUUCUCCUUUCUCCGUAUAGGCUUGCUUUCCCCGUGCAUGUUCUAUCUUCGGCAUGUUUUCACCGAAAACAUGUGUGAGCGCUUAACACAUCAACGUGCGUAUUGGUUUCUUUCUGCUUUGGGACUGCGGUCCGGAGAGUGGGCGUACUGUGUGCAUCUCGCCCUCUCUCUCGCUGCAUGCCCGCCUCUUCGACCCUACUCCCCGCCUUUUGCUGCUUUAGGUCAUGCUUUCCUCUUUCUCUGUGUUUUGUUGAAGAGGUGGGCAGCUUGCACUUGCACUCACAGACAUACACGCAUAUACACACACUCUUGCCCUCUCUUAUCCUUCAUCUUGCUCCCCGCCUUUCUCUCAGAAUGUGGUGCCUUUGUGUGUUCGACGCUCCCACCCUCUUCUUCCCUUCCCUUGUUCUGUUCUCCAUGCGCGCGCCAAAAUAUUCUUUUCUUUCAUAGCUUUUCAUGGAUGUCUGUUCUUGUGGGUAUGCGUGCAUGUGCCUGCAGAGAUGCUGUAGCUGUGUUGAGUGAUUCUCUCCCGCUCUCUUCUUGCGUUUGGGUAUCGACAAAGGUGGCCGCUUGCAGGGCCUUUUUUUUUCCUUCUUUCUCUGCUUCGCUCAGUGACUUCGGUAGCACGCAGGUGCGCACGUGUCCAGGAAAAGAUGGGCAAGCGUUAGCUGAGGUAACCCGUGGCUUUCGAGUGCACGCUGACAUCUUCUUGCACCUCCCACUCCUGGACACCCUCAUCCCUACCCUGCUUUCGAAGACGUGUGACCGCUGUAGCUGUCGUGCCAAUGAGCUUCCAUGCGCAUCCCGGGGACGCAUUGCCGCGCGUGAAUCCACGGCAGCCACUGUGUCUUCACAGCUUUCCGUCUCUCAUCCGAAUGUGGGAGGCCUAUAUCCCUCUUGAAAACGCGUUGAUCAGAAAACG